GACAGAGGGUGCAAACGUUGUUCGGAAUUACUGGGCGUAAAGCGCCCGUAGGCGGUUCGUUAUGUCGGAUGUGAAAGCCCUUGGCUUAACCGAGGAAGUGCAUCCGAAACUGGCGAGCUAGAGUACUAAAGAGGAUCGCGGAAUUCCCGGUGUAGAGGUGAAAUUCGUAGAUAUCGGGAGGAACACCGGUGGCGAAGGCGGCGAUCUGGGUAGAUACUGACGCUGAGGUGCGAAAGCGUGGGGAGCAAACAGG
rnacentral:rRNA from 1 species